GACGAACGCUGGCGGCGUGCCUAAUACAUGCAAGUCGAACGCAUUUUCUUUCACCGUAGCUUGCUACACCGAAAGAAAAUGAGUGGCGAACGGGUGAGUAACACGUGGGUAACCUGCCCAUCAGCGGGGGAUAACACUUGGAAACAGGUGCUAAUACCGCAUAAUUCCAUUUACCGCAUGGUAGAUGGGUGAAAGGCGCUUUUGCGUCACUGAUGGAUGGACCCGCGGUGCAUUAGCUAGUUGGUGGGGUAACGGCCUACCAAGGCUGCGAUGCAUAGCCGACCUGAGAGGGUGAUCGGCCAAACUGGGACUGAGACACGGCCCAGACUCCUACGGGAGGCAGCAGUAGGGAAUCUUCGGCAAUGGACGCAAGUCUGACCGGGCAACGCCGCGUGAGUGAAGAAGGUUUUCGGAUCGUAAAACUCUGUUGUUAGAGAAGAACAAGGAUGAGAGUGGAAAGUUCAUCCCUUGACGGUAUCUAACCAGAAAGCCACGGCUAACUACGUG
rnacentral:rRNA from 1 species